UCCUACGGGAGGCAGCAGUGGGGAAUAUUGCACAAUGGGCGCAAGCCUGAUGCAGCCAUGCCGUGGGUAUGAAGAAGGCCUCCUUGUUGUAAAGUACUUUCAGCGGGGAGGAAGAUGUCGUUGUUCAUAACCACAGCAAGUGACGUUACCCGCAGAAGAAGCACCGCAAAUUCCGCGCCAGCACCUGCGGUAAU
rnacentral:rRNA from 1 species